rnacentral:tRNA from 1 species
GCACCGGUGGCGUAAGGGAUAGCAUCGUUGCCCGAAAAGCACUAGGUGCGGGUUCGAGUCCCGCCUGGUGCA